AUUCACCAAACCCUAAUACGCCGUUCAAUCUGCCUUCACUCUCUGCUGAAUCUCCCCUGCCUUCGAUGCACAGCCUCUAGAAGGCAAACCCUAGAGGUUAUCCACAACUGUGAUCCACAUAAUUGUCCAGUUCACCACAUAAUCGUUGGCAUCUACAUGGAAAUCGAUGGCGAUAUUGAUGGUUUGUUAUGUAUUCAUCCGUUAUCACUUUGUGCCGUCCUCACUAAACACAUGGUAUACCUAAAACCCUAAUUAUAUUGAUCCAGCCGCUCUAUGUACUCUCUCUUCACCAUUCAUCCAUCCAUAAUCAUCGGAUCUUUUCAUUCAAUUUCAACAGUUUUGAGCUUGAUAAACAAGGAUAAGGUGGAAUCAGUGGUCUUGAGCUUCGUCGCAGAAUACAAAUUCUCGACCAUGAUCUAAUGGUGGUAAAAGCCCACAGUCUGGUGGUUUUGAUGAUAAACCACCAACUGAGAGCCCUAAAAUUCACGCAGUGGGAGUUUUCUCCAAGGGCUUGAGGAUGUACAAUUUGCCCUUCUAGGUAUCUCAGGAGGCAUUGAUUUUGAUUGGUGAUCUUUCUUGGAUUUUGUGUAAUACUUGAACAUGGAGGUUCAAUUAGAGUAAACUAUGGUCAAACUGCUGGUGAGUCAUCUUGCACCCAGAGCGGUCAACUUUUGAUGACCAUAAUAGGAAUGGUCUAUUGAUAUAUAGACUCAUGUCGAUAUGAUGACAUGGUACGACCCUAAUAUUCUUUGCUUUUAUUGUUUACAUGAACAUCUUUUAAGUAUUAAAUAUGGCGCGAUGAAGGAGUUGAUGAAUCGCCAGUCAACAAAAUGACAUUUGAGAAAUUGCGCUCAUUGGUUUGGCAUGCUUAAUUUCUACGUUUGUCAAUAAAAGGUUGGUUGCGUAUGCUCUUGAAAACUAGCAUUGGAAAAAAUGAUCUACGAUCGCGAUUGAUAUGCCGAUGGAUGUUAAAUUGGUGGUGAUACAUCUAGCAAUCGUUUUUUCAGGCUAUGUGGUUGUAUCUAUUGCAGAUAGUUUUGCUGCAAGUGAAAUUUCAAUGAGACUUGUACUAUCAAAAGCAAAAGCAAUUUUUACUCAGGAUUUGAUCAUUAGAGGUGACCGAAGCAUUUCCUUGUACAGGGAACAUAGAGUAUUGUGUGAGACUGUGAGUGAAGAAAGUUUAAUGGACUGUUUAAAUACCAAUACAAGUGCAGCAUGCCAACUGAUUCCCCAAAACUGCAGGUCAAGUAAAAACAUAGCUAAACAAAGGUUUGGGCCGAACGGGUUGAAAUCGUUUGAAGUCUUUUCUUUAAGUUGAACACGCAUGCAUUGCUGGUGUUGGAAGUUGGAUCUGAUAUAGUUGUUGUGCAUGAUGCUACAGCCUCCCGGGUACAACGAUUAACUAAGGUGUCAAGUGCGGUUGAUCAUGCGUAAAGUGCGAACAUACCCCUUGAAAAGACAAGCUACAUAAAAACACGAGGAAAUGGAUUUGUUUUGUUAUUAUGGUUUUGCUCAUAGUUAUGUAGAUCGAAUGGCUUCAAACCCAAUUCAUUUGUAGAGAAGAUAUCGCUUUUUAUCUAGAUCGAAUGGCCGGACACAUUUGGGAAUGGGAGAUGCUCUUUCAUUUGUAGAGAAGGCACAAGAAGUUGUGAGCAUCUGUAGGAAGUAGUUUUUGUCUCUUUAGUGCUAAGUUUUUUUAAUUCGAUUAGUAAGUUUUGAUAUUGAAUAUGGGAUGUGGGAAUUAGAAUAUGGUGAUGGGUGCUUAAGGUCUUAGAUUGAUUUGCAAUUAAAAGGAGGGGUGCUUUUAAAAACUAUUUGAUGAAGAGUAGUAGUUCUUUUGUUUAAAAGACAAUAUUGUUUUUUUCAUUGUUUAAAACUAAUUUGAUUCUUGGGAAAUAAAUUGUUUUCGCACAGGUCAAAAUGACCCGUAUGUUA